UAUAUUGGUUUCUGUUUGUCUAACUGCAUGCAUUUAUUUGCACCUGUACAUAUAUAUAUAUAUAUAUAUAUAAAGAUUUCAUUAUGAGGAUCCACAAGAAUCAAGGCACAUCAGCUUGUAGGACGCCAAAAAUGGCUAGGUGUAGGAGUGGCUGUGAGGUAAGAAGCUUGCUUUCCGACCACAUGGUUCUGGGUUCAGUCCCACUGCGUGGUACCUUGGGCAAGUAUCUUCUACUAUAGCCUCCAGCCAACCAAAGCCUUUUGAGAGAAUUCGGUAGAUGGAAACUGAACGAAACCCGUCGUGAUGAACAAAGAUCUUGGCGCAUGCUGUCUUCAGCACAAACAAAGUUUUUGUACCAAUAUUGUCAUCAACACAGCAGAUCUUUCUACACGCGUUGCCAGAGAAGAUACAUUCACUAUAUUUCAGUUAGCCUUCAUCUGCUGAGACAUUAAUAGUGAAACACUUAUAUACAGACUCACUUGUCUGGACAUUCAUGUACAAAUACACCGGAAAAUUUCUUGUUACUAGAACUUAAGGCCUUGGCAUUUGAACUUGUGACAGUCAAAUACUAACAGCAAGUAGAAAAUAUAUUCUACUUGUAUAUUUUCAAUAGAACAGAUCCAUAUGUUCAGAGGAAUUAAACAUCGGAGAUGCUUUGCUCAGAGGAGAAGCUGCAGGAGCUACUCGGAGGUAUUUCAAGCCGCAGUGCUGCAAGUUUUUCUUUUGAAUCUAUAUCGGAAACAUUUCCGAAUCAUCGGUGGGUAUCUCAGAGUCACAAGCGUUCCGUUCCUUAGUUUGUACGCUUUGUCCGAGUAGGGGCAAGGAAUACUAAACCAAUCUGCAGUCACCUUCAGCAGGUCAGCUUGAACAGGAAAUGGCGGACCGAUCUCGCUAGAAAACCGAGGAAGCCGAUUCAAAAGGAGAAUGAGACCGCGUACCAUCCGUUGAUAAGUAUGUCGUUAACCAAGUCAUAAUAUUUGGUUUUGUUUAACUGGUGAAAAAUAUCGACACUGUCCUCUCAGGUUUCUGAAAAUUCAACGUCUUCUUGUUCGUAUGCCUAUAGUUCCUACAUACUUUUUUUACAUAUAUUAGAAGAGAAUCAUUACUACUGACAGUUUUACGUUUCGAUUCAUCAGGUAUCAGGUAUCAAGUAAACUAACAAUGAUCG